AGUGAACGCUGGCGGUAGGCCUAACACAUGCAAGUCGAACGGCAGCACAGUAAGAGCUUGCUCUUACGGGUGGCGAGUGGCGGACGGGUGAGGUAUACAUCGGAAUCUACUUUUUCGUGGGGGAUAACGUAGGGAAACUUACGCUCAUACCGCAUACGACCUACGGGUGAAAGCAGGGGAUCUUCGGACCUUGCGCGAUUGAAUGAGCCGAUGUCGGAUUGGCUAGUUGGCGGGUUAAAGGCCCACCCAUGCGACGAUCCGUAGCUGGUCUGAGAGGAUGGUCAGACACACGGGAAGAGAGACAGGGUCCAGACUCCUACGGGAGGCAGCAGUCGGGAAUAUUAGACAAUGGGGGCAAGGCUGAUCCAGCCAAACCGCGUGGGUGAAGAAGGCGUUCGGGUUGGAAAGACCUGUUGUUGGGAAAGAAAAGCAGCAGGUUAAGACCACGCGGUACUGACGGUACCAAAAGAAUAAGCACCGGCUAACUUCGUG
rnacentral:rRNA from 1 species